rnacentral:sRNA from 1 species
CUGGAAAGUUGCAUUACCAAUCAAUUUUAAGUCUGAGAAGGAUUCCAAACAGAACAAAUGAAAACAACUACUUUUUUCUCACUCUAUUGUGGAUAAAAUUUGAAACCAGGUUUAGUAAAUAUAAAAUAUUUAGAGCCGUAUUGUCCCUUCUCUUGUGUCACCUUUUAUCCCACACUCAGUAUAUUAAAAAAAUUAUAAAUCUUUUGUGAUGUUCUGCUCCUUUAGUUUUGCAAAGCAAACUCUCAUGGAGGAUAGUAAUGUCUUUUCAAAGGUUCUUUCCAUUCUUAUGUUUACCCAUGCUAUCUCCAAUUUAAAGGUUAAACUUGGCACUUUGCUAUGAGUGAGCGGGCUGGUUUAAAAGUAAAGAACUGAUAUAUUUUUUACCUGUGUGAAGUAGUGAAGGCAGCUGGUUGUGAGGUUCUAAAACUGUGUUGACUUCGGAGUUACUUAGUUUAAUCCUAAAGCUGCUUCUUAAUCUUAUGGAAGUGGAUGGUAAUUUACCCUCAUCCAGACCUGUUUUGUAUUACAUUUUCAUCUACUAUCCUUUGCUUGGUGAUGAGGUGUGAACAAACACAGAAGAGACCAUUUUGUAAGUUAGGACACAGGAGAUCUGUUGCAGGCCCAAGAAUGAAGGUGGAUUAGGACUUGAAAUUUGAUGUCUUAAAAGAAGUUUCUUCUUCCCCAAGUUGUUCUUUUUAAAAAUUAAAUAAAUAAGAGUUUCCGCGACAAUUUAGAGAAUUAAAGAUGUAAACACAAAGCCAACAAGUCCGCAAAGAAAGUAAUAUCAUCAAUAGAGCAUGCUUUAAAAGCCAACAAAUUCUACUUCACAUUUCAAAUUUUUUUUCUAAGAGGGUGGCUGUUUUUCUAUUAAAAGGGUUCAGUUGAACAAUUGGCCACUCUAAAGAUUAGUUUAUAAAACGAAUAACAUUUAUCUGCCUGUAAAAAGUAGGUGAAGUGAAACUAAAUUAAACUUAAAUACAUUAGACAUUAAUUUUUAACCAACAAGUUUCUCUUCUUGCCAGCAAUUUGAUAAGAUCUUGCGUAUUAUGGGGUGUCAAAGCCCACAUCAAGCAGUAUGGGAUAUUUGGUGAAGUAUUUAAGUGUUUGGUCAUUACCCCUAUAGCUAGCUUUUGGAGGUGAGUUCCGCUAGUGUUUGGGUACUUACCCAAUUUAUAUUAAAAUACUAUAGCCAGUGAAAUAACUUUUGAUACCUUUGCCAGACAUGACUU